CUUCACGAAAUUGUAGCCGACUCAGAGUUCCAUAGAAUCAGGGACAAGAGCCGGUCUUCGUUCGGAUGAAAUUUGCAUGAAAACCGCUGUAGGUAUUUUCAAUCUGGUUCGUGGAGAAUGCUUCACUCAUUUGUCUGUUACAAACUCCCGAACGCCGUUCUUCUGCCGUAUUGUCACGGCUGCUAGUGUGGUCCAACACGCAGAAACUAUGUAAAC